AUGGGGAAACGGAAUUUGAUUUAUUCCAUUUGUCCCCAGAGGGCAAAGCCAGGCACAAUGAUGUUGGCAAGAAAUUUAAUGCAAAACUACACAAAGUCACUUCUUCCAUUCCAGAACUACAACAGAAGUCAGCCAGAAAUAUAUGGGAAACAAGUAGGAUGGUCCACCAAAAAAGUCAACAUGAGCACAGUCAGGGGUCACUCAAAGAAACAUGUAGCCCACAAAGCUCAAUAUCCAGAGGCUGAUGGUCCCAACCCUGAGAGAGAACUACUCAAUGGAGAACAAAAGACUUACCAGAAUCCCAGUAUUCCUCUGCCUGGAGCCUUCUUUCUCUGUACAACAGACUUCCCCUCAAGCCUGGUAUCAAGGUUUUGGCACAAAAGCUUCUGGCCAAGGCUUCUGUAAAGCUUCAUCCAUUUCCUAUGACCCACAGCCGAGGGGUCACCAGUAACAUGGAAAUAUUAACUAUCAAAAAUAAAUGAAUAAAUGAAUGAAUGAUUGAAUAAAAA
rnacentral:lncRNA from 1 species